rnacentral:lncRNA from 1 species
UAUUUUUUACUUUUAAUUUUCAAUGUGCAUUUUGCAUGCAUGUAUGGAAAAGAAAAUAAGGCGGAUUGCGCCUUUGAUUGAUGAGAAAAAAGAAAAAAUUGAAAAAAAAGAAUGUUUUGAAUUUUGAAAUGAUUGAAGAAGAAAAAGGAAUAGAAUGAAGAUUUUGAGAGGGCAUGAACAAUGGAAAAGGAAAAGACGAUUUGAGUACAAGAAAAAAAAA